GACGAACGCUGGCGGCGUGCUUAACACAUGCAAGUCGAACGGAAAGGCCCUGCUUGCAGGGUACUCGAGUGGCGAACGGGUGAGUAACACGUGGGUGAUCUGCCCUGCACUUCGGGAUAAGCCUGGGAAACUGGGUCUAAUACCGGAUAGGAGCCAUUUUUAGUGUGAUGGUUGGAAAGUUUUUUCGGUGUAGGAUGAGCUCGCGGCCUAUCAGCUUGUUGGUGGGGUAAUGGCCUACCAAGGCGGCGACGGGUAGCCGGCCUGAGAGGGUGGACGGCCUCAUUGGGACUGAGAUACGGCCCAGACUCCUACGGGAGGCAGCAGUGGGGAAUAUUGCACAAUGGGCGCAAGCCUGAUGCAGCGACGCCGCGUGGGGGAUGACGGCCUUCGGGUUGGAAACUCCUUUCGCUAGGGACGAAGCUUUUUGUGACGGUACCUAGAGAAGAAGCACCGGCUAACUACGUG
rnacentral:rRNA from 1 species